rnacentral:rRNA from 1 species
CCAGACUCCUACGGGAGGCAGCAGUAGGGAAUCUUCGGCAAUGGGGGCAACCCUGACCGAGCAACGCCGCGUGAGUGAAGAAGGUUUUCGGAUCGUAAAGCUCUGUUGUAAGAGAAGAACGAGUGUGAGAGUGGAAAGUUCACACUGUGACGGUAACUUACCAGAAAGGGACGGCUAACUACGUGCCAGCAGCCGCGGUAAUACGUAGGUCCCGAGCGUUAUCCGGAUUUAUUGGGCGUAAAGCGAGCGCAGGCGGUUAGAUAAGUCUGAAGUUAAAGGCUGUGGCUUAACCAUAGUACGCUUUGGAAACUGUUUAACUUGAGUGCAGAAGGGGAGAGUGGAAUUCCAUGUGUAGCGGUGAAAUGCGUAGAUAUAUGGAGGAACACCGGUGGCGAAAGCGGCUCUCUGGUCUGUAACUGACGCUGAGGCUCGAAAGCGUGGGGAGCAAACAGGAUUAGAUACCCUGGUAGUCCACGCCGUAAACGAUGAGUGCUAGGUGUUGGGUCCUUUCCGGGACUCAGUGCCGCAGCUAACGCAUUAAGCACUCCGCCUGGGGAGUACGACCGCAAGGUUGAAACUCAAAGGAAUUGACGGGGGCCCCGCACAAGAAU